UGAUAGCGUGCCUUUUGUAGAAUGAACCGGCGAGUUAUGGUAUGUAGCGAGGUUAAGGCGAGAAGCUGGAGCCGAAGCGAAAGCGAGUCUGAAAAGGGCGACGAGUUACAUGCUGUAGACCCGAAACCGUGUGAUCUACCCAUGGCCAGGGUGAAGGUGGGGUAAAACCUACUGGAGGCCCGAACUCACUGUCGUUGAAAAGGCAGGGGAUGAGCUGUGGGUAGGGGUGAAAUGCCAAUCGAACACGGAGAUAGCUGGUUCUCCCCGAAAUAGCUUUAGGGCUAGCCUCGAUUGAUGACGAAUGGCGGUAGAGCACUGAAUAGGCUAGGGGCCUUACCAGGUUACCGAACCUUAUCAAACUCCGAAUGCCAUUUGAUUUAGAUCGGGAGUCAGACUGUGGGGGAUAAGCUUCAUAGUCGAAAGGGAAACAGCCCAGACCAUCAGCUAAGGUCCCAAAGUAUACACUAAGUGGGAAAGGAUGUGGAAUUGCACAGACAACCAGGAUGUUGGCUCAGAAGCAGCCACCAUUUAAAGAGUGCGUAAUAGCUCACUGGUCGAGUGGUUCUGCGCCGAAAAUGUAACGGGGCUCAAGUGUAUCACCGAAGCUAUGGCUUU
rnacentral:ncRNA from 1 species